UACGUAGGGUGCAAGCGUUGUCCGGAAUUAUUGGGCGUAAAGAGCUCGUAGGCGGUCUGUCACGUCGGCUGUGAAAACCCGAGGCUCAACCUCGGGCCUGCAGUCGAUACGGGCAAACUAGAGUACUGCAGGGGAGACUGGAAUUCCUGGUGUAGCGGUGAAAUGCGCAGAUAUCAGGAGGAACACCGGUGGCGAAGGCGGGUCUCUGGGCCGAUAUUGACGCUGAGGAGCGAAAGCGUGGGGAGCGAACAGG
rnacentral:rRNA from 1 species